rnacentral:rRNA from 1 species
UGCAAGUCGAACGCUUCUUUUUCCACCGGAGCUUGCUCCACCGGAAAAAGAGGAGUGGCGAACGGGUGAGUAACACGUGGGUAACCUGCCCAUCAGAAGGGGAUAACACUUGGAAACAGGUGCUAAUACCGUAUAACAAUCGAAACCGCAUGGUUUNGAUUUGAAAGGCGCUUUCGGGUGUCGCUGAUGGAUGGACCCGCGGUGCAUUAGCUAGUUGGUGAGGUAACGGCUCACCAAGGCGACGAUGCAUAGCCGACCUGAGAGGGUGAUCGGCCACAUUGGGACUGAGACACGGCCCAAACUCCUACGGGAGGCAGCAGUAGGGAAUCUUCGGCAAUGGACGAAAGUCUGACCGAGCAACGCCGCGUGAGUGAAGAAGGUUUUCGGAUCGUAAAACUCUGUUGUUAGAGAAGAACAAGGAUGAGAGUAACUGUUCAUCCCUUGACGGUAUCUAACCAGAAAGCCACGGCUAACUACGUGC